rnacentral:rRNA from 1 species
UACGGAGGGUGCAAGCGUUGUCCGGAUUUAUUGGGUUUAAAGGGUGCGUAGGCGGCUUCUUAAGUCUGGGGUGAAAGCCCGUUGCUCAACAACGGAACUGCCCUGGAAACUGGGGAGCUUGAGUACAGACGAGGGCGGCGGAAUGGAUGCUGUAGCGGUGAAAUGCAUAGAUAGCAUCCAGAACCCCGAUUGCGAAGGCAGCUGCCUAGGCUGUAACUGACGCUGAGGCACGAAAGCUAGGGGAGCGAAUGGG